GCCCUUACUCCUACGGGGAGGCAGCAGUCGGGAAUCUUGUCCAAUGGGGGAAACCCUGAGACAGCAACGCCGCGUGAGGGAUGAAGGCCUUAGGGUCGUAAACCUCUGUCAGGAGGGAAGAAAGCUUCAAUGCAAAUAGUUUUGAAGCCUGACGGUACCUUCAAAGGAAGCACCGGCUAACUCCGUGCCAGCAGCCGCGGUAAUACGAAGGGGGCUAGCGUUGUUCGGAAUUACUGGGCGUAAAGCGCACGCAGGCGGAUUGAUAAGUCAGGGGUGAAAUCCCGGGGCUCAACCUCGGAAUUGCCUUUGAUACUGCCAGUCUUGAGUCCGGGAGAGGUGAGUGGAAUUCCUAGUGUAGAGGUGAAAUUCGUAGAUAUUAGGAAGAACACCAGUGGCGAAGGCGGCUCACUGGCCCGGUACUGACGCUCAGGUGCGAAAGCGUGGGGAGCAAACAGGAUUAGAUACCCUGGUAGUCCACGCCGUAAACGAUGGAUGCUAGCCGUUGGGGAGCUUGCUCUUCAGUGGCGCAGCUAACGUCUUAAGCAUCCCGCCUGGGGAGUACGGCCGCA
rnacentral:rRNA from 1 species